ensembl:lncRNA
AUGAAUGGGAGUCAAUGGGAUGCUAACGCAAGUGAAGUUCUGCUACAAGAUGGCGGCACGCGGCCGACUUCAACUUCCGGUCGACUUCCUUGCCCCCUGGCUUUGACUCAGUGCCCCAGUGUGAUCACCACGGCAACCCUGGCGCAAACAGAGUGCAGGGAGGUGUGUUACCCAGAGAAGUGCAGAAGUGUGCAGGCACGGAAAAAACACAAAGAGAAAACUCUCAGAGACAAUCCUGAUGUUCUGUAUGCUGACUACAUUCAACUCAAUGCCAAAAGAAUCAAGAACAACUUCAUUUUCUACACCACUAGGAUUAGUGCUUGGAAACUUACCAUCUGUGAGGAAUACAAGCAUGUGUUUAAAGAAGGAAUAGGCCGAGGUGGAAGAUUAACUAUUUGUGAAGAUGAAAUGCUAGACACAGACAACCCCAUUCUCACUAUUACCUACUAUACUAAAGGUAACUUCCUACUGCAAGGCAAUGAAGCAAGCCUAAAUUCAUUUGAGGAGAUUUUCCCCCUGCUGAAAGCCAGAGUAGAGAAGAAGAAAGACGAGACUCAUGUGAACUGCACAGACUCUGAGGAGGAAGGUCCAGUGAAUCCUCCUCCUUCACCAUCCGAACGUCGACUGAGAGACAGUUUAGCCCUACUAGAACUGGACUUUACUGAAUUCAGAGAACACACUCAAGCAAAAACUCUCAGACAAACACAACACAAAUCUUUACAUCCAGGAGCUCAAAGACGAACUCCAGCAGCUGAAGAACAACACCAGCUCCUCCAUCACCGAACUCACAAGAGCUGUCAGAGAACUACAGGAAGAAAACCGAACUCUCCACUUACAGCUAUGCAAACUAGAGGAGGACACAGAGAAAAAAGAAGAGAACUUCUCCAGACAGCUGCAAGAAAUGAGAGAACAGUUACAGGAAAACACAAAAGACAACACACUUCACUACAAUACAGCUCCUACUACAGACAAACCAAAUUACACAAACACAGAAAGUGUACCUACGACAAACACACAGACACCUGCAGCAACACAGGCCUCACCUGCCCAGCCUCCAGAACCUGA